rnacentral:rRNA from 1 species
GGGUUGUGAGGUUAAGCGACUAAGCGUACACGGUGGAUGCCUAGGCAGUCAGAGGCGAUGAAGGGCGUGCUAAUCUGCGAUAAGCGUCGGUAAGCUGAUAUGAAGCGUUACAACCGACGAUACCCGAAUGGGGAAACCCAGUGCAAUUCGUUGCACUAUUGCAUGGUGAAUACAUAGCCAUGCAAGGCGAACCGGGGGAACUGAAACAUCUAAGUACCCCGAGGAAAAGAAAUCAACCGAGAUUCCCCUAGUAGCGGCGAGCGAACGGGGAAGAGCCCAGAGUCUGAAUCAGUUUGUGUGUUAGUGGAAGCGUCUGGAAAGUCGCAGGGUACAGGGUGAUACUCCCGUACACAAAAACACAUUUGCUGUGAACUCGAUGAGUAGGGCGGGACACGUGACAUCCUGUCUGAAUAUGGGGGGACCAUCCUCCAAGGCUAAAUACUCCUGACUGACCGAUAGUGAACCAGUACCGUGAGGGAAAGGCGAAAAGAACCCCGGCGAGGGGAGUGAAAUAGAACCUGAAACCGUGUACGUACAAGCAGUGGGAGCCUUGAUUUAUCAGGGUGACUGCGUACCUUUUGUAUAAUGGGUCAGCGACUUAUAUUUUGUAGCAAGGUUAACCGAAUAGGGGAGCCGUAGGGAAACCGAGUCUUAACUGGGCGUCUAGUUGCAAGGUAUAGACCCGAAACCCGGUGAUCUAGCCAUGGGCAGGUUGAAGGUUGGGUAACACUAACUGGAGGACCGAACCGACUAAUGUUGAAAAAUUAGCGGAUGACUUGUGGCUGGGGGUGAAAGGCCAAUCAAACCGGGAGAUAGCUGGUUCUCCCCGAAAGCUAUUUAGGUAGCGCCUCGUGAACUCAUCUUCGGGGGUAGAGCACUGUUUCGGCUAGGGGGUCAUCCCGACUUACCAAACCGAUGCAAACUCCGAAUACCGAAGAAUGUUAUCACGGGAGACACACGGCGGGUGCUAACGUCCGUCGUGAAGAGGGAAACAACCCAGACCGCCAGCUAAGGUCCCAAAGUCAUGGUUAAGUGGGAAACGAUGUGGGAAGGCAUAGACAGCCAGGAUGUUGGCUUAGAAGCAGCCAUCAUUUAAAGAAAGCGUAAUAGCUCACUGGUCGAGUCGGCCUGCGCGGAAGAUGUAACGGGGCUAAACCAUGCACCGAAGCUGCGGCAGCGACGCUUAGGCGUUGUUGGGUAGGGGAGCGUUCUGUAAGCCGUUGAAGGUGACCUGUGAGGGUUGCUGGAGGUAUCAGAAGUGCGAAUGCUGACAUAAGUAACGAUAAUGCGGGUGAAAAACCCGCACGCCGGAAGACCAAGGGUUCCUGUCCAACGUUAAUCGGGGCAGGGUGAGUCGACCCCUAAGGCGAGGCUGAAAAGCGUAGUCGAUGGGAAACAGGUUAAUAUUCCUGUACUUGGUGUUACUGCGAAGGGGGGACGGAGAAGGCUAGGCUAGCCGGGCGACGGUUGUCCCGGUUUAAGCAUGUAGGCGGAGCGACUUGGUAAAUCCGGUUGCUUAUCAACGCUGAGGUGUGAUGACGAGCCACUACGGUGGUGAAGUAGUUGAUGCCAAGCUUCCAGGAAAAGCCUCUAAGCAUCAGGUAACAUUAAAUCGUACCCCAAACCGACACAGGUGGUCAGGUAGAGAAUACUCAGGCGCUUGAGAGAACUCGGGUGAAGGAACUAGGCAAAAUGGUGCCGUAACUUCGGGAGAAGGCACGCUGGCAUUAGGUAAAGGGACUUGCUCCCGGCGCCGAAGCCAGUCGCAGAUACCAGCUGGCUGCAACUGUUUAAUAAAAACACAGCACUGUGCAAACACGAAAGUGGACGUAUACGGUGUGACGCCUGCCCGGUGCUGGAAGGUUAAUUGAUGGGGUCAGCCGCAAGGCGAAGCUCUUGAUCGAAGCCCCAGUAAACGGCGGCCGUAACUAUAACGGUCCUAAGGUAGCGAAAUUCCUUGUCGGGUAAGUUCCGACCUGCACGAAUGGCGUAAUGAUGGCCAGGCUGUCUCCACCCGAGACUCAGUGAAAUUGAACUCGCUGUGAAGAUGCAGUGUACCCGCGGCAAGACGGAAAGACCCCGUGAACCUUUACUAUAGCUUGACACUGAACAUUGAGCCUUGAUGUGUAGGAUAGGUGGGAGGCAUCGAAGCGUGGACGCCAGUCUGCGUGGAGCCAACCUUGAAAUACCACCCUUUAAUGUUUGAUGUUCUAACUCGGCCCCAUAAUCUGGGGUGAGGACAGUGUCUGGUGGGUAGUUUGACUGGGGCGGUCUCCUCCCAAAGAGUAACGGAGGAGCACGAAGGUUAGCUAAUCACGGUCGGACAUCGUGAGGUUAGUGCAAAGGCAUAAGCUAGCUUGACUGCGAGAGUGACGGCUCGAGCAGGUACGAAAGUAGGUCUUAGUGAUCCGGUGGUUCUGAAUGGAAGGGCCAUCGCUCAACGGAUAAAAGGUACUCCGGGGAUAACAGGCUGAUACCGCCCAAGAGUUCAUAUCGACGGCGGUGUUUGGCACCUCGAUGUCGGCUCAUCACAUCCUGGGGCUGAAGUAGGUCCCAAGGGUAUGGCUGUUCGCCAUUUAAAGUGGUACGCGAGCUGGGUUUAGAACGUCGUGAGACAGUUCGGUCCCUAUCUGCCGUGGGCGUUGGAAGAUUGAGAGGGGCUGCUCCUAGUACGAGAGGACCGGAGUGGACGAAUCACUGGUGUUCGGGUUGUCAUGCCAAUGGCAUUGCCCGGUAGCUAAAUUCGGAAGAGAUAACCGCUGAAAGCAUCUAAGCGGGAAACUUGCCUCGAGAUGAGUCUUCCCUGGGGCUUUAAGCCCCCUGAAGGAACGUUAAAGACUAUGACGUUGAUAGGCUGGGUGUGUAAGUGCAGCGAUGCAUUGAGCUAACCAGUACUAAUGAUCCGUGAGGCUUAACCUUACAACACCAAAGGUGUUUUG